rnacentral:snRNA from 1 species
GAAAUUACCUGGUAGAGGGGAAUACGAAUAACGAAUAUUGUUUCCCUGGGAUAAAAUUUGUCCAUUGAACUCCAGAUGUUCUUACUCUGGAGAUUUCCCAGGAUGGCUGAAACGCUGUUGCAUAGUUAUGAGUAGUGGGAGACUAUAUAUAUGUUUGCCUUUUU